GACGAACGCUGGCGGCGUGCCUAAUACAUGCAAGUCGAACGCUUCUUUCCUCCCGAGUGCUUGCACUCCAUUGGAAAGAGGAGUGGCGGACGGGUGAGUAACACGUGGGUAACCUACCCAUCAGAGGGGGAUAACACUUGGAAACAGGUGCUAAUACCGCAUAACAGUUUAUGCCGCAUGGCAUAAGAGUGAAAGGCGCUUUCGGGUGUCGUUGAUGGAUGGACCCGCGGUGCAUUAGCUAGUUGGUGAGGUAACGGCUCACCAAGGCCACGAUGCAUAGCCGACCUGAGAGGGUGAACGGCCACACUGGGACUGAGACACGGCCCAGACUCCUACGGGAGGCAGCAGUAGGGAAUCUUCGGCAAUGGACGAAAGUCUGACCGAGCAACGCCGCGUGAGUGAAGAAGGUUUUCGGAUCGUAAAACUCUGUUGUUAGAGAAGAACAAGGACGUUAGUAACUGAACGUCCCCUGACGGUAUCUAACCAGAAAGCCACGGCUAACUACGUG
rnacentral:rRNA from 1 species